AGCACCACGAACGGGUGGAGUCUUGUCGGUUUAAGUUGGUAUUCAACGCGGAAUCUUACCGGACCGACAGCAAUAUGAAGGCCAGGCUGAAGACUUUGCCGGAUUAGCUGAGAGGUGGUGCAUGGCCGUCGUCAGUUCGUACUGUGAAGCAUCCUGUUAAGUCAGGCAACGAGCGAGACCCACGCCCACAGUUGCCAGCGUACUCUCUGGAGUGACGGGUACACUGUGGGACCGCCGCUGCUAAAGCGGAGGAAGGAAUGGGCAACGGUAGGUCAGUAUGCCCCGAAUAUCCCGGGCUACACGCGAGCUACAAUGGUUGGUACAAUGGGUAUCUACCCCGAAAGGGGACGGGAAUCUCCUAAAACCAAUCUUAGUUCGGAUUGAGGGCUGCAACUCGCCCUCAUGAAGCUGGAAUCCGUAGUAAUCGCGUUUCAACAGAACGCGGUGAAUACGUCCCUGCUCCUU
rnacentral:rRNA from 1 species